rnacentral:misc_RNA from 1 species
AACCCUAAUACCAUUUUCUCUCCUAAAGGAAAAAAGUAAAACAUUUAGGAAGGAACAAAAUCUAUGCUACAAAACAAUAUUUUUACAGAUACAGGAUCCUUGGUAUUCAUUUUUGGAGAAGAGGUGAUGAAAUAGAAGGUAAACCACAAAUUAAUAUAGCUAAUCAAUACAAUCAGAUACAAUUCAAAAGUAGUGAAACAAAAAGGACCUAGUUUAGGGCUUUCAUUUUAUUUAAAAUUGACAACCUAGAUCUUCAUUGGCACAUUAUAAACCAUGAGAACCCAAAGCUUUCAAUCUUUUAGUAUUAUCUCUCUCAGAGGAAUGGGACUCGAUGAUGAAGGGGCAAAUAAAUACAUGCAAGAGAAAUCAAGAAGUAUUUGAUCUUGAAUACACCAUAACAAACCAGCACAUGAAAUGAGUAUCGAUAACAGGGAGCCUAAGGGAGGGAGUGGAAUUUUGA